GACGAACGCUGGCGGCGUGCCUAAUACAUGCGAGUUGAGCGCUGAAGGUUGGUACUUGUACCAACUGGAUGAGCAGCGAACGGGUGAGUAACGCGUGGGGAAUCUGCCUUUGAGCGGGGGACAACAUUUGGAAACGAAUGCUAAUACCGCAUAAAAACUUUAAACACAAGUUUUAAGUUUGAAAGAUGCAAUUGCAUCACUCAAAGAUGAUCCCGCGUUGUAUUAGCUAGUUGGUGAGGUAAAGGCCCACCAAGGCGAUGAUACAUAGCCGACCUGAGAGGGUGAUCGGCCACAUUGGGACUGAGACACGGCCCAAACUCCUACGGGAGGCAGCAGUAGGGAAUCUUCGGCAAUGGACGAAAGUCUGACCGAGCAACGCCGCGUGAGUGAAGAAGGUUUUCGGAUCGUAAAACUCUGUUGGUAGAGAAGAACGUUGGUGAGAGUGGAAAGCUCAUCAAGUGACGGUAACUACCCAGAAAGGGACGGCUAACUACGUG
rnacentral:rRNA from 1 species